rnacentral:lncRNA from 1 species
AGCAGUAAAAAAAAAAGCCCAUAAAAGUGGCACGGGGGACUGCCCACCAAGCCAGGAUUUCACCCCAGUGGAGGAGCUGGCCCUCCAUGCGAAUAAAGGGAGGCCAGUGAUGGAGGGGAUCCAGGGAGGGACGGCCACAGACUGUGUCCCAGCAACACAAACUGGCUGCUUCAUACAAGGUACAUAUUGCAGUACGACUGCACAUGGAACACAAUUAAAUAAAUAUAUUAUACUGUCUGACUUUGGAUUUCCGUGCAGUGUCUGGGAACACACUGACACUUUUGGAGCCACCAGAAGAUGAUCCGGUUAGAACAUUUGAUUGAAAUCACAGGCUUGGCAUGUCCUGUCAAAAAUCUUCAGAGAAGAUAUGCAUGCAUGUGUAUGGCAGGGGGAAGGCACUUCUGCAGCGGCGGGAUGCACUUUAGCAGAUGAGGAGACCAUCUCAGUAGACUCCAGAAGGCAUGAAGUACCAUGUCAAUUUUUUGGAAAUAUCCUGAUUUAUUUAGUCCACUGAGGUCAGUGAUUUGGUGCUAAUACAAAAUAACAUGUGUCACAGGACCCAGACUCUGCACAGCCUCCUAGGCAGCCUGGUAACAUUGUGAGUAUUGGCUUAAGUAAAUCUACAUUUUGCAUAAAUUGUGCUCUACUAAUUGAUAUUUAUUUUACAGAAUUCACAAACGGUCCGAGCUCUAUAUGCUCAAUAUCUUCAGAAGCAGAUCGCGCUUGCAGAUGUGAAAAUCCAAUUGAAGAGCAGAAUCUAGAGUCAGAAUCUUGAUUUAGAGAUCAAACGCAGGACCCUCAGGAAACUGGACCUGGAGAUCCAGAAACUAGAACGAGAAGUGAGUAUUUCAGUGCAUGCUAUACCUGUAGCAUGCUUUUAUGGGCAGUGUAUUAAUAUUUGUACUUUUGCUCUCUCUAUUCCAGCUUCCAAACAACACGUGACUGUGAAAUAAAAAGGAAAAAAAAACUGAAA